rnacentral:rRNA from 1 species
CGAACGAAACUUCUUUAUCACCGAGUGCUUGCACUCACCGAUAAAGAGUUGAGUGGCGAACGGGUGAGUAACACGUGGGCAACCUGCCCAAAAGAGGGGGAUAACACUUGGAAACAGGUGCUAAUACCGCAUAACCAUAGUUACCGCAUGGUAACUAUGUAAAAGGUGGCUAUGCUACCGCUUUUGGAUGGGCCCGCGGCGCAUUAGCUAGUUGGUGGGGUAAAGGCUUACCAAGGCAAUGAUGCGUAGCCGAACUGAGAGGUUGAUCGGCCACAUUGGGACUGAGACACGGCCCAAACUCCUACGGGAGGCAGCAGUAGGGAAUCUUCCACAAUGGGCGAAAGCCUGAUGGAGCAACGCCGCGUGGGUGAAGAAGGUCUUCGGAUCGUAAAACCCUGUUGUUAGAGAAGAAAGUGCGUGAGAGUAACUGUUCACGUUUCGACGGUAUCUAACCAGAAAGCCACGGCUAACUACGUGCCAGCAGCCGCGGUAAUACGUAGGUGGCAAGCGUUAUCCGGAUUUAUUGGGCGUAAAGGGAACGCAGGCGGUCUUUUAAGUCUGAUGUGAAAGCCUUCGGCUUAACCGGAGUAGUGCAUUGGAAACUGGGAGACUUGAGUGCAGAAGAGGAGAGUGGAACUCCAUGUGUAGCGGUGAAAUGCGUAGAUAUAUGGAAGAACACCAGUGGCGAAAGCGGCUCUCUGGUCUGUAACUGACGCU